GAGGGAAAGCUUGGAGGGGGUAUCAGCUCAACUGUAAAAGCUAUACAGACUCUCUCUCUCUCUCUCUCUCUCUCUCUCUCUCUCUCUCUCUCUCUCUCUCUCUCUCCAUAGAUCAUCUCUGCUUCAUGCCCUGUCUCAUUUCGCAUAGCUAAAAAAAAGAAUGCUAAUUAAGAUCCCAUGUCUUAACCUGAAAAUAAUGACUCGGCUGUAAUUAGAAAUCUGCUGAGAGUUUAAAAUUCUAGUAGGGGACCAAAAGCAUCAGUUAUGGUGAUUAGGAAGAAAAUGAAGAAGUAUGUUUCUGUAAUCAAGACGGAUCUGAGAACGCUGUCUGGGCUUCGUGCCAAGGGCUGGUAUUCACACAGCAACGACGGCCUCACAGAGGAGCUGUGGGAAGCAGGAGGGAAGCCUCUCUUAGGGUGCCACUACUAUGGAGACACAGCUGGGCUGAACAAGAUUUGCUUCAAACGACAACAAGAGAGACAGAAAGUAUCUGAUUCAACCGCUGCCCAAGCAGGCAGGCACCAGAAGAGCUAGCAGCCAAUCCGGCCAUGCUCGAAGCCAGUCCUGCAGCUCAGCCAAUCAGUGACAUCAUUGGACAUCUCUUUAGAUUGUUCAUAAUGAUAUGAAGAUGAAACUUAAUAGCAAUAACCAAUGGAUGCUUUUCUUGGAGUCAGUCCAACACUCUGGAGACCAGAUCUUCAGGAAUGUUACUGGGAUAUUUGUCCAAAUCAAAUUACCUGCCCCCAUCAGGGUGCUGAUUAUUAAAGUGACGUUAUGAAAGGAUCACUCCGAAAUAACACACACCAGAAUAGGGGUGUUCCUGUCGUAAUGAGCAGUAUACACUAUGGAGAGAUUCUUCAAAACCCGUCAGGACGAGUAACAGAUGAAUUCAUAAAACUGUUCAUCGCUGUUAACCUUAAUGGUCAUUGAGACUUUUACUCAACUAUAAAGGCAUUUGAACUGGUCGAACAGGACGACGACAGAGCAGUAAGCAUGAGAUCAUUGCAGCCGAGUAGCAAACUGGCACCCAGCCUUUUCACCCCUUCGGUUCGGGAGACGAACGUGUGCAGUUCUCAUUUCUCAAGUCAGCACAGCCUGGAAGGAUUCCGGGUCUCUCCCACCUUCCACCAUUCUGCUGCCAGUCGAUGGCAAUGAUUGGUGCAGAUUCUGUGCAGUGUUUUGUGCCUGGAAUAUGGAGAAGAGACUGAAGACAAGCCCUCUGGACCUUCUUCUCUGAGAAAUACCAGGAGCCCUGAAGAAACAGCAAAAAACACACCCAAACCAAACAAAACCCCUGAGCCUCUCAGUAUUCGCUAGAGUGCUGAAAAAUACUGAUAAUGAUGCGGUAUGCCUGCGUGAAAACAAACAAAAAAAACCAAACAAACAAAAAUGCAAACCGAGACAAACCAAAAAAAGCAAACUUUGGUUUGUCCAACUCGUGAGACAUCGGGCUUCGUUAACCAGCUUGGAAGGCAACACAAACUUAUGAGCCUUUUUUGUUUUUAUUUAUUUAUUUUUUAUUAUUAUUUCAAAAACAAUGGCCUAAGAGCAGUACAUUGCACUUGGUGAACCCGCACUUUCAUAUCAGGGGAACAUUUAAAGUGCAUAUGAGAAGAGAAGAGAAUGACCACAGGAGAAAAUCAUCUCAGGUAAACGAAAAGGCACAAGUGUAUAGUAUAAUUAAUCUAGAAUACUAAUGAGAAAUUUACUAUGUUUGUGUUUGGUAUAAGAAAUUGUUCUUCCCUUUAUGAGGGGAAUUUUAUUGAUGGUUUUCUUUCAAGAGUUUACAGUGUUAUUUGCCUUUGUCAACCUUUUGUUUGGCUUUGUGAUUAAUGCCCAGUUUCUAUCUUUCUGAGGACAUAUGUGUACUUUGAUUUAUACAAUACAGGUACAAGAUGGUUGAAUAGGAAGCUAUUAGUGAAAAGAAAAAUAUGUUCUCAGUAGUUAUACCAUAGAAAAAGAAGUAAAAUCUGAGAGAAAGGUAUAAACUCAUAGUUUGUUUGUUAAUCUUUUUCAUAUAUCUAGUAAGACAACAAAGGAAAAGUAUAUUUUGAAGUAAAAAGACUACAACCAGUGUUUCCUCUUUUUCUUUAGACAUGAAAUGUAUAAAUAUAUGAUGAAAUAUUUUUACUACAAUUGGAUGCAUGAUUGUUGAUUAUUUACUACAGUUUUAAUAAGUAGGAGAAUGAUUUGAAAAUAAAUAAUGGUGAAAAUUUGUGUAGGCCAAAUUAUCUGUAUUAAACUCUAUAAAAUACAUUCUAUUUUUAUUUAUUUCAAAACACGCCAAAUCAUGAAGUAAUUACUAUGCAGUAUUAUUUUUCACAAUGAAGAUAUAAUUAAGAAAAGCUAAAUCAUUUUAGAUAUGAGUGAAAUGAUUAACGAUUAUACAACUUAUAAUUUUGCUGCAGAUGAGCUUAGAAUCCUAAAAAAGUACAUGUAACUGGUUUCAUGUGUGCUCACUGGCUUGCUUUCUUCCAGUGUAGUAGCUUACAAAAUUAAGAAUCAUUUAUUUAGUUUCAACCUGUUGAACAAAGGAGUUAUAUGUGACUGUAUGUUUUGUUGAAAUGAUAUAGUUUUUGAGAAAUAAAUUUAAAUGUGUUUUGUUGAAAGGGGAUGUAUGCUCUUUGGUGUGCUAUGAGCAGAUGUAAACAGUCCAGAAUAGCAGAAAUAACACUGAUCAUGUCAUUGAUUUUAGGGAUUUUUUUAUACCUUUUUUUUCCUCACUACUGUAAACGUUUAAUUUCAUCAUAACGUAGAAUUUGUGAUUUUUGUGUUUUUCACAAAAUCUCAUUUGUUUUUAAAAAAGCUAUAAUGUGACUAAAUCUCAAAAAUCACUGUUUUAUGUGAAUAAAUAUAAUCACUCUAGUGCAUAUACAACUUAAUAAUUUCUUUUUUAGUUGUAGACUUAUCAUAAUAUAUCUGUGCCUCACAACAGCAUAAUUCAUUAUGCAUAUAUUAGAUUCUUAAUUAGAACAGUUUAACAACAAUGCUAAAAUAUUCACAAUUUAAAGACAAAAUCAAUCUCUAAAAAAAACAGAAAAAAAGAAAGAAAAGAAAACUUGAAAGUUACUUCUUAAUCCUCAUGUUUAUAAACCUGUAUUUAAGUCAGUUAUUUUUGAACAUCUUUAACUGAGAAUAUGCAUCCUGAAAGUACAGCCUUUAAAAAUAUUUACACUAAAAUAUUAAUUUUAUUUGUAUCCCCUACUUGCAAUAGAUAUUUAGAACAGAUGCUACAUUAGUAAAAUGUCCAUGUGAGACGAUGCCCAUUGGCAUAAACCCGUAGAUCCGAUCUUGUGGUGAAGUGGACCGCACAAGCUCGUUUCUAUGGGUCUGUGGCAGUGUGGUGAUCUGACCAAGCACAGGGUAAUUGCUGCUCCAUCACAUCUCAGUGCACUCCUGUUCAUACUCCAGUACUCUUCAUAGCCUUGGAACAGUAGUAUCUCCAUUGUCCUUCAGGUAUAUACUAAUCCUCUCAUGUCUUACAAGGCAAGUUUUAAUUGUUGACUUUCUGGAAGGAUUUGUAGCAGAGCCAUUCAAGGCUAAAUUCAACUGCAAUAAACUGCUUUCCAAAGGUUGGUGUUUUUAAAUAGCUGGCUUUGAGCAAAAUCUGCACAGCUAUGGUCAAGAAACUUCAGUACACUUUUUCAGUGGGUUAAUGUGUCUUAUCCACUUCAACAACAGAGUACAGUCUAUCACUAGGUGUUUACAUUACACUUGAACCUGUUUCUCUUCAAAAUCAAGGCCUAACACUACCAACUUUUAAAUGUGCUCACAUUAAUGGAAGUGUGGUAAAGGAGAUGUCAGAAGAUGCUUCAUGUGACCUAUACUAUCAACCCACCACAUUAGGGUAGUCCUGUAAGCUACAAUUGAAGUUGAUUUGUAAACUGCUAGAAUAUUCUAUCUACAACCUUGCCAAGCCCUUAGGUAUUUGGCCGCCAUAUUUGGAGGAGCGGACUGAAGAUAUGAUAAGGAGUUUGAAGAAACAUUGGAAGCUGUGUGCAUCCGGGUUGAGGUAGUAGGUUGUAUGGUUUAGAGUUACACCCUGGGAGUUAACUGUACAACCUUCUAGCUUUCCUUGGAGCACACUUGAGCCAUCGAGGAAUUCUUCAUCUCUUUAAUCUGACCAAGCCAAUUUCUGUGCAAGAAAGUAAUGUGUCAUGAGUACAUGAGGCCUUAAUGCAUUUACCUGAUCAUUCCAGACCUGAUGGUUAAGAUUUUGCUUGUGUCUACUUGUAAGCAACGGCACAACGCUAUUUCUCAUGGGUUGUUAUUUUGUGUUUACCAUUCGAAAGAAUGGAUGCAUAGUCAAUUAAGUUGUGUUAAUAUUGAAACUUUUGUUCCUUUCAUCAAUGUAAUCACAAAAUUUGGCAUUUUCAAAUAGAUUAUUGGCCCUUUAUUAUUUUAUACUUAGAUACUACAGAAAGAGCAUGUCUAAAUGAUAGUAAAUUUCAUGUUAUCUGAAUUUUCUCAUGACCCAUCACUUUCUAUCUUAUGUUAUACCUAUAUAUAUGUUUACUUGUAUUUUCCAUACUAGACUGUAAGCUCCUUGAGGGCAAAGUCCAAGUCUUAUUUUUUAUUAUAUUCUUUUAAUGCUUAUACAUCUUAAACAGUAUAUAUUUAUAGGAUCAAUAAAGGGGCUAUAAGAUUUCAGUCUGUGAAGAUUUUUUUAAACUUGAAUUUCCUUUAUUGACCCAAUUAAAUUUUCCUAACCUUAAGUUCCAGACUCUUCUAAGUCAGUAAUAUAUUGAUUUAUUUUUACUGUUUUGAUUUAUUCUAUAUGUACAAUUUAAAAUUUGGAAAUACUUUCUCUCUGAAAUAAAAAGUAGAAUGAACUUAAUACUUACUUCAUCAUAGCUUCUAGUUUUAAAUAAUCCAUAUCUGUGUUAACCAUGUAAAUAUUUUUUUCAGAUAAACCAUUAUUCUUUUUAAUAGUAAUUUCAAUUAUAGGUCACUUUAAAAGUCUCAUUUAAUAAUUUUAAAACUCAGAAUUUUUAAUUUUAUGUGUCUUUCUUCUCUUCUAUAUUCUUUAUUUUUCAAAUAACUGAUUUUUUUUCUGUUACGAACCUCACAAAGAGGUCAUGAAAUUUAAUGAUUAAAAAAUGAUGUAAAAUGUAAUUUUAAAAUUUGGAAACAUUUUUAUUUAGAAAGGCAUAUUAUAUUAGCAUGUAAUAAUGUAAAUGAGACAUUUUAGAAUACAUUUUGUUUGCUGCCCGUUUUAGUGUAUUCUAGUGUGACAAUAUGUUAGUGAUUUCAUCUUGCAUAGAUUAUUUUCACCUCUAAAUUUAAAUAGCGUUUGACAUUAAACAUUUUAAUUUGCAACUACAAUUAUCUCUAGUAAUUUGACAUAUGUCAUAUAAAUAUACAUGUUUCAUAAAUAUAUACACAUAUGUAUAUACAUAUAUAUACAUAUACAUGUCACCUUAAUUCUUGACUACUAGUGUCUCAGAAAAAAAAGAAAGAAAGAUUUUUUUUGAGAUCAUGCCCCCAAAAGCAAACUCCAAGAAAUAAAGAGAAGGUGUGUAUUGGGGAAUAGAAAUGGUAUCCUAGAAGUGGUAUCCUGUCAUAUAGUGUUGGUUGUGCACAAAUAUGGGAGAAAUAGCCAAGAAAGAAAGCAGUUAGCUGGAAUGUCUUUUUCAUCAAUUAGCCCUGAAGAAUAACAUUCAUUUCAUUUGUGUGUGUGUGUGUGUGUGUGUGUGUGUGUGUGUGUGUCUGUGUGUGUUUGUGUGUGUGUGUGUGUUUACCCCAAUACUGGUUGCAUAGAUCUGGUGGUCACAUGAUAUACACACUGAAAGGAUCAAAUACAUACUAUUGCAAAGCAAGUCCUGACUUCUGUUCAAUGCAGGAGAGUUAAUUGUCCUACAGAGGACAACUAUGAUAUGUACUUUAAAAUAAGCUAUAAAAUGCUAUAAUAGGCAGCUAGAAAGAUGGCUCAGCCAUUAUGAAGGUUUCAGAGGACCUGAGUUUAGUUUUCAGCACUAACAUGGAUAGUUCAUAACACCUGUACCUCAGUCUAUAGGCAAUCCAAUGCCCUCUUCUCAUCUCUGUGAGUACCUGAACAGCACCCACACACACAUGCACACAAACAUACACACACACUAAAGUAACUAUUAUAUCAAGUUAUAGAAUUAUGAUCUUGUGCAUGUACUUUCAAAAGGGAACUGGAAUUGAAGAUACCUAGGAAUAAAGCCUAAGGAAGAUGAAACUAUAACUCAUUACACUGCUUACAUAGAAAUAAUAAAAAUUCUGAAGAGCAAGGGGCAUAGCAUCUGAGAAGAGUUUUAAAACUUGGUGUGGUGAGAAAGCUAUAUUUGAUAAUUAUAUUUUUGCCUUUGAACAUGAUAUAUUUUUCCAAGUCAUCUCUAGGGCUGCUAAGAUUCCUGUAUGUUUCUGAAUAAAACUCAAUGGCAAAUAUUAAUAUAAAAGUUGACAAGAUUAAUUUGAAAUAUACCAAGGUCUAGGACCAUGAUGAUACAAGUUAGAAAUAGGUAAACUGGAUCCUAAAAUUGAAGGCAAUCAUAAUACAUGUUGAGGAUAGGCAUUGGGUCACAUAGGACCAACCAUCCAAAUUGGCAGCAGGGUUUACUGUAUGCUAAGAGCUGUAUAAUUUGUAUCAGAUAAAGGAUCGUCUAUAACAAAAAACAUUCAAUUUUUAACUAAUCAUAUUUUACCACUUUAUUUCUGUCAUGGUGUGAUAUGUUUACAGUCGGAGUGGUUGAUUCAAUUCAUUUGGUAAAUGCACUUUGAUAAUAUUUAAAGCACCUUUUGCCCCUUCUCCUGUCGCCUCUGAUUUACCUUACAUUCUUUAUAGCACAUGACAUUAAUGUAAAAUGCAAAGAAAGCAAAGCAGAGCACAAACCAGCAUCCUAUGCAAGGGAUUGAGUCUUAGGUGGAAAAACCUAACCAAGUCCAUAAUACUGAGAGUUCACAAUACUGUGAACUAAGUUAGCCAGAGGAGCUAUAAAGGAAUCACAUAAACUACUCGGCAUGAGUCCUUUUGAAAAUAAUCCAGCAGCACAUAAACUGAGCUAUUAGAAUAAGUGAGUCAUUUUUUUCCUCUUACUUCCUAUUAGCAAAGAGUGACUCAUGAGCACAGGAGAUUCCCCAAGGUAUAGGAUUCAGGGUCUGUCAUCGUGAGCCUUAAACCCAUGCCCCACUUCUCUACAAAACCAUUUAGUACUGAUAUGGGCUGACUGACCCCUGCUUUUUUCCUGAGACACAUAGGGUAUAGAUGUGAAAUGUCUGAAUGAGGAAUGGCAUGCCCUGAAAUUUUUAAUUUGUUCUUUAAUCUCUAUGGCAUAAACAGCACACCUACUUUUAUAACAAGAUACUAUCAUGCUCAUCCACAAAACAUUUACUGAUGCAGAAAGAGAGACUGUUUCUGUUUUGAUUCCCCAAAGUCUAUGUACACCGUUCAUUCCCAUAGCAAUUACUCUAAGUUCCAUUAAUAAUAAUCAGUGCCCAAAGGGACUGUGAUCUGCCUUUCUACUUUUUUACAUAUUUAGAAAGAACCACAUUUGUAUUGAGUCAAUGCCUGUUGUAUUUAAUUGAACUUUGGGAUAUUUAUGGGUUGUGUUAAGAACCUCUGUACAAAAUUAUAAUAACUUUUGUUUCAGUGUAAAGUUUUGUGUUUUCCAAGAUAUUUCCAGACACUUUGCAAUGUAUUAUUAUUGUAUUGUAGGCAUUCUAACGGCAACUGAUGGUUCUACACCCUAGUCUUAAUUAAGACCUGUGAGGUAAUGCUUGAAGAUUUAUGAAACUAACCAGUCACUAAUAUUUAUAAGUUCAAAACCCUUGUAUAAAAAAAUAAGUUCUUUCAUAAUGCACAACUCUUGCUGUAUCAUUGAUGUUUUAAGACAUAUUCAAGUGCUCUUUCAUGAAUUUAAAAAAAAAUUCAAUAAAAUAAAAGUAUUCUGACAUAGAAGAACAAUCCUAAAUCAAAGUAGACUUUUAAAGAUCUUUCAAUUUUGUAUAGGAGAUAUUAGGAAUAUUAUAGUAACUUUGGAAUAUGCUUGAAGGCUGAUCUCAAGGCUUGUUCUUAUUUCUUCAUAAUAUGUGUGCCUUAAUCUUAAUUUAACUAUGCUAUAUGGAAAGUGUGAGUUAUGUGUAGUCAUAUUUAUACCUUCAUAUGAAACCUCCAAAACCCCCAUUGUGUUUCUCUUCCCUCUCAAAAUGACAAAAGCCAUUAUGAAAAGGCUAAGUUUCUAGGAAUAACAUAUUACAUAGGUUUGCAAUCUUCUAUGAGCACUAGAAAACUUGCUGUUUAUUUUGUCCAGUGGAGUCCAGAGUUGAUUAAUUAAAACAUAAAAAAGUAUGUGUGUGUGUGUGUGUGUGUGUAUACAUGUGCAUGUACAUGUGAUACAACUUUGGGUGUGACAUCAAGAAUUAAAUGUUAUUCUUCUAUCUUUUUCUUGAAGCAUGGUCUCUCGCAGUCUUGGGACAGGGGCACAACAACUAAGGUAGACAGGGUGGCCAGCAAGACUCAAAACCUGCCUGUCUUUUCAUUCCCUCUUCUGAGAUAGUAACACAUACCACCAUGCUUGACUUCUGAGAACUAAAUAGAGAUUGUAAUGCUUACAAGUACAGGACUUAUUAACUAAACUAUCUCCCUAUGCCCUAAUAAAUAAUUCAUUAAAAAAUAACUAAAAAUAGUGCAUAUGUGUUACAUACAUUAUAAAACUAAAAAUCCUGGAGAAAAUUUACAUAAAUAUAAAUAAAAGGAUAUAGAUAGAUAGAUAGAUAAGUUUAUAUAUAGUUUUAUAUAUACACAUACACACAAAUAUAUACCUUCUAACAAUGUAUAUAUAUGUAUAUGUAUAUGUAUAUAUGUAUGAAUAUCUUCUUUAAGUCACAAGAUUUGUCACCUGUGAUCUCUAAUUUUCAGUUGCUUCAUGGAUGUCGUUAACUAGAAAGAAAAAGUAGGAAUAAUUCUCUUUUCCUUGAGUCUUUUUUUCUAAUUUUCCAUCCAUUCAACUCUACAGUAUUUUGAAAGUGAUUGAAUUUUAUUUAUUCUUUCUAAAACUUUCAACUUAGAAGAACAUCUCUUAUUCACUGUACACUUGUAUUUCGGUUGGUUUUUCUAGUAUCAAAUGGCUUGGGCAUGAAUAGGACUGACUCUAAGCAAGCACGUAAAGUACUUAGUGGAUGGCUGGGAGCAAGGAUGAGUAAGAGUGGUGUGACCCAGGGGUUACAAACAAGUUGUUACAAGUGCCUGUGUCUAAUCCACAGCACCACAGAUAAUAUUAGCAAUAGUGAUAAUAGUAAUAAUUUCUUGGGUACAUAAAUAUUAACUUAAUUGUUCUUAAAAUUGUUCUCUGUACCAUCUAUCAAAAAAGCUUUUAGCCACAUUUGGGUAACAUAUUUGGAAUCUAGUUGACUGAAGAAUAUACUAAUAUGUUGUAGUUAAAGUUUAAAUAGCUGCAUAUGGCUGGUAGCUAAUAAAUUAAUUGGAUUUUGUAGUGGUGAAGUUUCUGUAUGGGUAAAACUUAUUCAUUUUUUGAAUUAAUUAAAAUAAAUAAAUAUGUGUGCUCAUUUUUUUCCUCAGAAGUGCCAACUUAUCACAUUUUCUCAGUAGUUCAUAAGGGAUUAAGAGAGUAAUGCUUGUCAGUAUGAAGUUACUGCUUAGCACUAUCUGAAUUUUUAAAAAAGUUUAUUCAGACCUAAGCUUAGAUAUAAUUGGGAACUCUCUCUUACAUAGACUAUUACUCUCAUAUCUACCUAACUGUCCAUCUAUAGAUAAUCUAUAUUCUAUUAUUACAUAUGCAUUUUAAAAAAUAUUGGUCAAAACCUAAUGUAUGUGGUAUUUAAUUAACAAAAAAAUGCAAAUAAUUAGCCAGAUAAACAUACUGGAGAAUAUUGAGAAAAAAGAAUGCAAAGUUUUAAAAUGAUUCAAGCAAUUGAAUAGUUUAAAAAAAGUCACUGUAAGUUAUGCUUCACAGUUUAGAUGUAAAGUAAAGUACUAGACAGAUGAUAAAAAUAAAGAUAGAUUCACGACAGGAGCACAGAAACUUCCUCUGGAUCAGGGGAAACACAAAAUAAAGCACCGAGUGUACUCUUACAAAACCCACAAAAACAGCACCCACACCUAACACUUGAAGUAAUAAAAGGGAUUUUUUGUCACUUGACAAUAUUAAGAAAAAUUAUACUAUUACACUUUUAUAUUUUCAAAAACAAAGUAUUUAGAUUUUAUUUUUAAAGUAGUGCUUGGCAACUUCUACCCUUAAACACUAAGUGGCAUGGUCUGUGCUGUAAGCCAGGCAGUGGUAGCACAGGCCUUUAGUCCCAGCAAAGGCAAGCAGCCUGGUCUACAGUCAGUGAGUUUCAGAACAGCCAGGGCUACAAAGAACAAAACAAAACAAAGCAAGCAAGCAAGCAAACAAACAAACAACAAGAAACAAUAACAACAAAUGAAGUGUUUGCUAUCUCUUUAAAUAUUAGAAAACUGCUGGGAUCUGUAAAUGUGUACAUAGCCAUGUGUUCCUAUAUAUGUCACACCUACAUGAAUGGUAACUCUUUAACCUAAAACCUGGGUGUCUUCCACCAUCGAUUCCCAUUACUUUGUCACAGUGCUUCUAGUGACCCACAAACAUUCAUGGUACACAGUCCCAUGGGAGAAUCUACUUUGUCCAGUUAGUCGCAGUGGCUGCUCAGCUUUCCUGCUCCAGUCCUUCCAGAUGUUUUCUCUAGGACACUGUCUCAACUUAGAGAUUCGCACAAUAAAUGUUCAAAGUUGGAUUUUUUUUUUUUAGCAGAAUUAUGCAAAUGACAUAGGUUGCCAAACCUGUCUCACAAAAGGUAGCACAUUUGCCCCUAGCUGUGAUAUGACCAGUUUAGUGCGGUUCAGAGUUGAUCUUCUCUCUCCUGGUUACUUCUGCUCUGAAAGUCUUAAGCAAUUAAAAAACGAGGAACUACAGUAAGCCCAGCUCUGCAGACUCCUUUUGACCUUAAUGUUUAGGAAGCAUUUAACGCUGUUCCCAAAUCUAGGAUUCUGCCAUAUUCUUCCCCUAUCUUAGCAUGACCCGUUAAUUUUUUCCUUCCUUGUCUCAUUGUAAAGCCUCCUAGAUGACUGACUCUCAACCUUAUUCCUUUGAAACCUGCAUCAGGAAGAAGACAUGGUGUAGGAAGUGUGCAAUCUGGGAAAGCCAUCAAUGUCCUUCAGCUUACACACACCUCUUUCCACUGUGAGCACAGUCACGAACAUUCUCCUUACAGUAACACAGGGACUGAACCUCACAUAGAGGGUGGGCGAUGCCUAAACUUAGAUCGUCUGAUCCAUGUGACUGCAGAAAUUGGCUUUACCCCAGUGCUUUGUAAUAGGUCCUCAUCUGUAAAGGGAAAACUCUAACAUGGCUUGUAUUGUGUGAGCAUAUUAUAUUGAGCAAGCAUGGAGGAUACUAGAUUAAAAGUAUAUUGUUGAAAUAUAUGUCACAUGGUACAAUUCAUGCUUUAUGGAAAGUCGUAAUAUCUAGUGCUGCAGAAGUUACCCAGGAAGACCAUGACACAGAUAAUUUAAGGAGGCUCAUACUCCAUACCUUUUCUUUUUUCUGAUUCCCCCUUCUUACCUUUGAACACCGUGGCAUAGCUGCCUGAAUUCUGUUUUGAACAGAUCACCAUUAAGUACAUCUUCAUUGUCAGGUGACCCAAGACAAAACAUAUCUCACAUCUUACCUCAUCUUUCUUAACUUAUUGUCUGUCUUCAUGCCUCUGAAGUUAAUUUUUGGUUCCCAGGUAUAAUGUCUGUUUUAAACGCUGGAGCAAUGCUGUCGGUGCUGAGCAUGCAUAAAUUUGAAAGAAAAUUAGAAAAAGAAACAAAAACUUGCUAGUCUCUGUCCCUAUCUCUAAAAUGCAGACAAUAGUCUCUUCUAUCUGAUUUAUUCAGACUGUGGAGAAGGUAAAAACAUUUGAUGGAGAAAAAUAAAGGAGCAUCCAUAGUUUUUAUAGAUAACAAAUCAAAUCAUUAAAAACCACUCCUUUGAAGUCUCGAAUAUGUAGACCUAGGAAAGGAGGGAGUGUCCUGUUUUCUUCCAUGAUCACCCGAGAACGAGAACGGAUGCCGCUCCUCCCCUCACUUCUGCUCUCUUUGUCUUUCUGUCUUUCCUUCUCUGAUAUAUGUUUUCAGGUCCUGCUGAAAUGAAGCUGGGGAGUUUGGCAGGACUUAACUAGUAGGUUAAUCACCUGCCAAGUUUGUGUACCAUCUUGGUCCUGUCAUGCAUAUAGGGAGCUAAAACAGUCUUGCCAUUUUAUCCAGGCCCCACCCCCUUGUUUUUCCUUAGCAGAGCCACCUGUUUCCACACAAGCUAAGAAUGCAAGCCAUUCUUGUUUGCUAGGAAGUUUUGGCUGUGCUUUUAAAACUCUGUGAGGCUUUGUUAAUUGAUUUUAUUUUAUAUCUUUGAGGCAAAGUUUCAAUAGUUCGGGGAUGGUAGAUUACAUGCAUCCUCUUGAGGUUUUACUUUUAUUUUGUUUAUAUUAUAAAUUGCUCGUGUGUGUGUGUGUGUGUGUGUGUGUGUGUGUGUGUGUGUAGUCAGAUGCCCAUGGAGCUGAAAAGAGGACAUACGAUCCCUGUAGCUCAUGUUAUAACCUAUUGUGAGCUACUCAGUAUGGACACUGAGAGCCAAACUCAGAUCAUAUGCAAGAUCAAUACUCACUCAUAAACAUUGAACCAUCACUAUGGCCACUUACCCUUGACCUUCUAAAACAAGUUCUUUACUGUUCCUUAUCUUUAGAUUUGGUAGACUCCUGUGUCAUGGUCUUAGAUGAUUUACCAAGGUAGGA